rnacentral:hammerhead_ribozyme from 1 species
AUCCAGCUGACGAGUCCAAAGUAGAGCGAAACGCACGUCAUGGAU